rnacentral:rRNA from 1 species
UACGGAGGGUGCGAGCGUUGUCCGGAAUCACUGGGCGUAAAGCGUGCGCAGGCGGUUUUGUAAGUCAGAUGUGAAAUCCCCGGGCUCAACCUGGGAACUGCGUUUGAAACUACAAGGCUAGAGUGUAGCAGAGGGGGGUAGAAUUCCACGUGUAGCAGUGAAAUGCGUAGAGAUGUGGAGGAAUACCAAUGGCGAAGGCAGCCCCCUGGGUUAACACUGACGCUCAUGCACGAAAGCGUGGGGAGCAAACAGG